ACGGUAGAGGGGCAACCCUUGAGAGUGGCGAACGGGUGAGUAAUAUAUCGGAACGUGCCCAGUCGUGGGGGAUAACGCGGCGAAAGCUGCGCUAAUACCGCAUACGAUCUAUGGAUGAAAGCGGGGGAUCGCAAGACCUCGCGCGAUUGGAGCGGCCGAUAUCAGAUUAGGUAGUUGGUGGGGUAAAAGCCCACCAAGCCGACGAUCUGUAGCUGGUCUGAGAGGACGACCAGCCACACUGGGACUGAGACACGGCCCAGACUCCUACGGGAGGCAGCAGCGGGGAAUUUUGGACAAUGGGCGCAAGCCUGAUCCAGCAAUGCCGCGUGCAGGACGAAGGCCUUCGGGUUGUAAACUGCUUUUGUACGGAGCGAAACGGUCUGGGUUAAUACCCUGGGCUAAUGACGGUACCGUAAGAAUAAGCACCGGCUAACCACGUGCCAGCAG
rnacentral:rRNA from 1 species